rfam:Ixodes scapularis strain Wikel colony gcontig_1107728849040, whole genome shotgun sequence.
GCAGUCGUGGCCGAGUGGUUAAGGCGAUGGAGUAGAAAUCCACUGGGGUCUCCCCGCACAGGUUCGGAUCCUGUCGACUGCG